UUCUUCUGAUCUACCGGGGUUCCCAAUUAAAACAACAACAACUGGAAGCCAAAGGACUUAUUUUCCCAUGUGGUUAUAUAUAGGGUAGCUGUAGAAAUGGUGAUAACGGAUGAAAGAUUCACUGCACAACUUUGGGCAGUCUGUUUCCUGUAGACUGCAAAGGGAAUGCUGCUCCCUAGAUUCAUGCAUUGUGGCAGAUGUACUAAGCACCUAGUACAGAGCCUAGCACAUAAUAGGGGCUCAGUGGGUAUUAACUCCCUUAUUUAUUUUAAUUGGGACAAACUAAGUUAAACGUUUCCAGAUGUAUGUAGGUCUCCUCAGAUCCUCACAUAUAGGAACGUAAGGAAAAAAGCUGCCAGCCUCCGGUGACCGAUUUCCCUUAGGUAGUGAAGAACUUACUGAAUGGUGAAGAGCUCUCAACCUGACUCCUGUAAUCACAGAAUGUUCAGAAACAGGUGCUUUCAAAAUUCCUGCUUCCCAUCUUGUGCCUCUGCCUCUCGCACGAGGUGAGACAAGGCAGAUGAACUAGCUGCUGUGAAGUGAGAAAGAAUGAGCUCACACAUAGGAAAUGAAAAGUGUUGAUUAGAAAUAUUUCCAAUCAACGCAUAGCAGUACUUCAUACAGGAAAUAUCACUACCUGAUAUUUUACCAAAGGAAAAUGACACUUACUCAUUCCCCAUAAACUUCAGGGCAAGUUCAAUCAUGGUAGAAAAUACAGCCAAUGAAAGGGCUCUCUACCAAUGAGACUGGUGGGAGCUUUUGCAAUAUGCUUCUGAAAUCCAACCACUGCUGAACAAUAUCCAGUUUCAGCAUAUGAACACUGAAACUAUCUCAGGAAAGGAAACAAAAAUCAAUUCAGUGAAAAAGAAACUGGUGAACCCAUUCAACAAAAAGGUUAAAGAGGCAGAAAUCUUAAGAAGGAGACAAGGACCUCACCUUGGCUAACACCACUCUUUUGCAAAGGGAACCAUAUUUAUCAGAGAGUGAACUAUUCCUCACUCUCUGAUGAAUAUGAUUAUGGUUACCUCAAUGUGGAGCAUCAUACUCAUGGGUUUGUAGGACCUGCCCUAGUGCUUUGGUUCAUACGACUUCUGCGGUCUCCUUCACCUCUGAAAGAUGAAGAACUUGAGUCUUUCCCUCUAACCACAAAGACUGUUUAUGUCCCCAUCUCCAUCUCAACUCCAUCUUCAUUUUGCUCUAAACUUUUUACAAUUAAAAAAAUAUCCAAGAAAACUGAUCUAAAGCUGGCAUUUCUUGGUCACUAAGAUAAAUGAAGGAUGUAGCUGACAAACAGGGCACAUAACUGUGUGACCUUGAAGAAAUUACUUCUCUGGGCUUCAAAUUUCUUAUCUGUGCCCCUGGCAUUUAGAUUAGAGCUAUAAGGUACUCUCCAAUGCAAGCAUUCUAUGACACAAGGAGAGAGGAGACAAGCAAGAGUCAGUCCAGUGGAGCUGAUGAAAGAACAUUCCAGUAUAUGCAAAGUCUCCCCUUGGUUCUUACAUCUCAAAGUUGAUUGUCUUUCAAAGUACUACUUCCUUUUUUCUGCCUCCAGUUUUGACAUCAUGAUCAAGUGAGUACCAGUCAGAUAGGGCUACAGAUACCAUAGUGAAAAGGCAAUGUUCCUAAUGCAAACAGUAGUCAGAGGACUGGAAGGUUCAAGAAACUUGCUGAAGGAUGUGGCUGUGACUAUCAAAGAGAUCUCACAUGUCAGCUAAUGGGUUUAGACUGGAGGACAGAAAGCAAAAGAUCAACACUUUAAACAGAAGUAUACACGUGCUGGCAAUCUGAAAGGUCUCAUUACCAUAAAAUUGGCUAGUUCAGCUACCAGGUAUAAUACAAUCCCAAAGGAAACCUGGCUAUUUGAUAUAGCACAGAUCAGGCCACAAAUUACCUCUAUCUCAGAGUUCCCAUUAUGGCAGUGGUUAAUGAACCUGACUAGGAUCCAUGAGGAUGCAGGUUUGAUCCCUGGCCUGGCUCAGUAGGUUAAGGAUCCAGCAUUGCCGGGAGCUGUGGUGUAGGCUGCAGACUCGGCUUAGAUCCACAUUACUGUGGCCAUAGCAUAGGCCAGUGGCUAGAGCUCCAAUUUGACCCCUAGCCUGGGAACCUCCAUAUGCUGUGGCCCUAAAAUAGUAAAAAAGAAAUAAAAUAAAAUAAAAUAAAAAUCACCCCUGUCUCAAAGCAAAGCCUGGCCAAGAUCUCCAUUCAAUUAUUAAAAACAUUCCAGUAUAUGCAAAGUCUCCAAACUUGCCCAUAUUUAAAGUCGGUUUUACAGCUAAGGAACUGAGGGCAAGAGGAAACUGAGAAUUCAGAGGUAGUUAAGGGUCAGCUCAUGCUUUAUAGAAGAUAUUGAAGAUUUUAGAUUUUAAUGCCAUGAUGACAUGGCAUAUAUAAGCUUCUUAUGGAUCACUCUGGAGCAGAGCGAAGAAAGGGUAGGGAAGAGCAAGAACGAAAGUGAGGAGAAUGGUUGGAUGGUCAUUACAGCCAUGAAGUCAGGAAAGGACGGAAGUUUAGACUGAAGCAGUAGCAGAGGAGGAGGAGAGAAAUAGCAUAUCUGAGGAGCACCUUGAGAGAAAAACUGACAGGCUCUAUGGAAAGUGGAAUAUGUGAAUGAAGAUGAAGGCAAUGACAAAACGAUGCCUGCCCAUAUUCAUGACAUGCCUAACUGGAUAUACAGAGGACACAGCAUUUUCUGAGAAGAGAGGCACUAGGAAAGAAGAAAUAUAUGGGCCAGAGGUGGAGAUUAAGACUCAUGUUUUAAAGACAAAUAUCCUGAUAUCACUUAUAUGUGAAAUCUAAAAUAUGACAUAAAUGAACUAAUCUAUGAAACAGAAUCAUAGACACAGAGAACAGACUUAUUGUUGCAAGGGUGGUAGGGGUGGGAAGGAUGGAAUGGGAGUUUGGAAUUAGCAGAUGCCGUAUAUAGGAUGGAUAAAAAACAAGAUCCUACUGUAUAGCACAGAGAACUAUAUUCAAGAUCUUGUGAUUAAACCAUAAUGGAAAAAUAUGAAAAAGAAUGUAUACAUAUACAUAUAACUGAUCACUUUGCAUACAGCAGAAAUUAACACAACAUUGUAAAUCAACUCUUUUUUAAUAAAACAAUGUCAUUAAAAAAGUUAUGUUUUCAGAGUUCAAAUUGUAGCUCAGGGGAAACUAACCCAACCAGUAUCCAUGAGGAUGUGGGUUCAAUCCCUGCCCCAACUCAGUGGGCUAAGGAUCCGGCAUUGCUGUGAGCUCAGAUCUGACAUUGCUGUGGCUAUGACACAAGCCAGAAGUUGUUGCUCUGAUUCAACCCUUAGCCUGAGAACUUUCAUAUGCUGCAGAUAUGGCCCUUAAGAGCAAAAUAAAAUAAAAUAAAAUAAAAUGUUAUGUUUUCAUAGCACCAUGUUAAAUCCUGUUUUAAAUGUGAAUUCACUGAAAACAAGAAUGUAAAGUGACUGGAUUUAGGAAGACCAUUGUUGGCUUUCACAAGAUCAGUUUAUGUGUAGUAACAGGUGGAAAAUCCAUAUUGAGAAGAAUCAAAAAAUUAAUGGGAAAUAAGGAAGAGAAAGCAGCAUGUGUAUGAAGGUUUUUCAGGAAGUUUGGGUGAAAUGUUAAAGAGAGAAGCAAUAUCAAGGGAAUUUAUAUAAGGAUGGAGUAUGUACAAUGACACAGAUGUAGGCUGCUGGGAAAAAUCAUUAAGGAGCAGAAACUAAGGAUACUGGAAAAGAAAGGCCUGUGAGAAUGUGAUAAGGGAUGCUGUCUGGAAUACCUAUGCUUCUGCCACUGAGCAGAAAGGAAGAAAAGGCAGGUAAGUCUGUGGGGAUGGUGGUGCGAUGAUAAAAAGUUUUAAUUUAAUGGUUUCUAUUUCUUCUGUGAACAGAAAGAUGUCACUUGAUUAAGAUUGUGGAGAAGGAUUUUAGAGAUGUAGGGGUCAUGGAGGAGACAUAAAAUGAGUUUAAUGAUGAAAAAUGUGGAAAUGCAAAUAAGUAUUUUGGCAUUACUUAGAUUCCAUUUGGGGUGGAUGGAUAUGGAUUCCCAAUGUGUGAUGUUCUCUAGAGGUUUUAAGCUAGCUCUUUGGAAAUGGGCACAUAGUUUGGUUCAGCUGGGCUGAGAUGAAGGAGUUAUCAUGAUGGAGAGAAAGCCAAGGAAGCUGAGAGUAUUUACAAAACAGCAUUAAAAUGUAGUCCAGUGACAUAAAAUGUGAAAAGGACAGAAAUGAAAUAGGGAGAGGCCAAUGGAGAAAGUAGAGACAUCGACAGACUGGACAUUUUAAGGAGGUCACAAAAUCACUGUGUAGAGAUAGUUAAAUAAAUAAGCUGGAAAGUGGGAUAGUUGAGUUAGCAAUACUAGAGAUGGGGCACUUUAUUAAUGACCAAAGUCAACAGCGGGAAGGACAUAUGUGAUGAAUGGAGGAGAGAAAAUGAUCAUUGGAGAUAUGAAAAAAUUCAAGGAAAUCAAAAGUCUGAAUCCUUUGGGUGAUGUUUAAACAGAUGUCAAAUUUCUUGGAUGACAGAAGGCAAGGAGCUGAGGAAGAUUGAGUGAAGUCUUCAGUGAUAGAAAGGAAACGAUAAGAAGGUGGGAAGAGGACUGCAUGGCUUUCAAGCAGAGUCUGAUUUUCAAAGCCAUGCAGAAAAUAGACUCUGCUUAAAAAGGUCACAGAAAAUGUGUCUUAGGGGUUAAAACAUGUUAACCCAGGCAAAGUAGAAGAUAGAAAGCUUUCAUUAGAAGUAUAAAUUUUAGAGAAGUCCAUUGUUUGGGGAAUUCUAGGAAACACCACUGAAAGUAGGAUUGGAGGAGGGGUAGNUCCUUUUAUACAUUAAGAAAACGCAGAAUAAAGUUAAGGCUGGGAUAACCAAUGUACAGUGCAACAUUACGGGUCUCCUACUUUGUUUUCUUUUUGCUUCAGCAGAAAUAGUAUUUAGGACUUCUGAUAUGAUAAUGGCUAUAUAAGUCAGCACUUUUACUCUGCCUAAGGAAAAUCACAUGAAAGUAAUAAGGAGAAUAAAAAUAAAACUUUCAAACUCCAUUUUUAGUGAGAUCAAGAGACAGAUUUAAUUCACAGAGCCUCAAAACAUAUUAAAGGGCUGCCAAAAGCAUUUGAGAAGAAGCAGAGCCUCUGGGAGGGGAAAAAUGAAUAAGCAUAUGUGAAAACUCAGCACUGAUAAAUUUCAAAAAGGAUAAACAACAUUUACUUGAAAAUGGGGGCUUCCCUUAAAGUGCAAAAGGUAUCUGUUUUGGAAUAAUCAGUGUGGGUUGGGUGAGUGGGGCUGACAGCAAGAGCACUGCUGUUCUAAGCCUAGUCCAGAUAAUAUAAAAGGAGAUUACACAAGAAACACUAGGAUGAGUCUCAGUAGCAGAAAAAGAGAGAAUCUUUGGGGUGAUGCUUAUAAGUUUACCUUGAACACUUACCAUCUCAAAGAAAAACUUCCUACACAUAACUAGUUUAUUACAAAAAGCAAACUGACUCAUUGAAAAGCAAUAAAAGGUGAAUUGAGCCAAAGCAAUCUUGAAGGGAAGAAAAAAAAAAAAAA
rnacentral:lncRNA from 1 species